GUGGCUGAGCGUCUCUUCUCAGCCUCAAAUCUCUCCAUACACGCGACCACAAGCUCCCAAGCGAAGGUAGCAGGCGGAGCGCGCGGUGCGGCUGCGCGGCGGCGUGGCAAAGCAGGCCAAUUUCCCUAGUCCCCUUCCUCGUCGCGGCCAAGCAUCUCGUAUGUGCUUCGAAAUCUCUCCAUGGAGCAACCACCGGCUCCCCCACGAAUCUAGCAGGUGAUUCGCGCGGCAGUGCGGCGACGGGCCGGUGACAGCGCGGUCUAGAAGCACGUAUCUCUUUCUUCGCCGCGGGUUCGACGUCACCGAUGACUAGCAGGGAUAGGGGCAUCGGGGUCUCGAUUUUUGGGCCGAUCAUGAAGACUGAUUUCAGAACAUGCAGAACUCAUGGCAACCUAAGAUUCAAGCUUCCUGGAAGAGAGACUGUACAUACUGUCCUUGCUCUAGUACCUUUUCACUUAGGUUGAGGUGCCGUCACUACUUUGUUUCUCAGAAGCCACUAAAACCUGAUUCUUUUGGAUGUUGGAUUCUACAGCAAGAAGAUACAUCCUACAAUGCAGAUCAAGUUCUACCCAACGGUUUUUCUUUUUUCUUGUUAUUACUUUUCAAGUCCACUUUAUACAUGCAUGAUAGAAAGUUGGGGCUAGAUGAUCCUGAUGCAUGAGCAGGCCCGGAUCUAGAUUUGGGAUGUUCAUUUAAUAUACAGAUUUGAAGGUGCAGGAAUUUGGUUGUAA